CUCCCUAGCCGCCAGGUGAUCGAUCCCAGGCUGUCAGUGAGGAAAGGCCCGGGCUAGGAGAAGGAGCAAAGGCUGCUAUCCUUUGAAGUGUUCCAAGCCGUACUCACCACAAGAACUUGCACCUACCAUCCCAGUUUCUUUCUCAUUCACCUCCAGAACUAUGUUGGACCGAGAUAUGGGUCCCACAUAUCCUUCCUCCUUCAAUGAGCCAGAUAUGGGG